GCACUUUUGGGUGGUCCACUGUUGUUUGAGUGCCCCAGGCAGGCAGGCUUUGAGCAGAGGUGCCUGCACACACCCAGCCUUGUGUGCCCUGCUGGAGAGAGCCUGGAUUUGAAGGCUCUUUUCCCACAGCCUGGAGGUGCCCCCUCAUCUGAAGCCCUUCAGGACCAAAUGCUGAGCAGAGCAGUGAAGUCUUGUCUGGCCAGGAGGAAGCUACAAGGGCUUCACUCCCAGCUCAGGCUGUUUGUUUCCCCUGAGAUGCCCAGUGAGACUUUGUAAGCAGGAGAGUAUUUGCCAGUAAAUGCUAGUAUAACCCUAAUGUCCUGAUUUAAGGUAGUCAUCCAUCAAGUUGGUUGUUUUCAGACCUCAGGUAGCUGCUGAAAAAUCAGGAGAGUCUUACAGCUGGAACAGCCACGUGCUCAGCUGAAAAUGGAUGUGGCAAUCACAGGUGAGUCCUGACCUUUACUGUGGCAAAAUAAUCUAUUAUUGGUAUCUCUUGGCUGAAAUGAAAGUAAGUAGAAGGAAUAAUUUUUGUUUCAUGCCUGGGGAGAAAAAGCAAUCAGAACCUGAUUCAGCACAAAGAUGGUUCGUGUUCAUCCUUCUGAGCAAGGACUGGAUCUCACUGGUUUGGGAGCAUCCCAGCAUCCUCUCCAGUUUGCCAUGUCUGUGCCAGAGAUUAGCAAAGACAAAUGGUCCUAGAAGGGUCCAGCAAGCCCCUUGGAGCCACGUGGGCAGCAUUUCAGCAGUGUCCUCCUUCAGGCAGUGAUUAAUGAGCUGUUCAGCAGAGGAUGAGAACUGGGCUAACAAUGGCCUUGUUUUCCUUUCAGGGUAAAACACUGUUCCUGUAAGAUGCAGGGUGCUCCUGGGCUGUGAGCAGGGAUUUGUGCUGCUCGCUGGAGAUGCUUUUCACAAGGACAGGCAGGGAGAGCCCUCUGGAUGUGUCCAAAAGCAGUAACUCCUGCAUGAUGUGGAGGUUCAGCCCCGCUGCAUUGCUGCUUCUGAAGGGCCAGAGCUCCUUGGCACUGCCUGUGGCCCUGGGUGAUGAGCUCCAGACAUGGCAUGAGGAGGAGGAACCAUAGCCAAGUCUUGAUUUCUUAGACAGGUUCCUGAUGAUGGGAAUUAGGCACAAGCUCCACUGCCCUGCAGGGUGAAGGCCAGGGAUGGCUGUGGUGUACAGACCCCAGAGGUUUUGGUCAUGGAAGAGGCCAGCCUUCCCACACGUCUGUUUGUUGUGCUGUUGGAGUCUCUGGUGCUUUCUUCCCCUCCCUAGAACCAUCCCAGGGUAAGUGCUUGUUUGACCUUCUGGCUUCACAAAAUAGAUUUGCCACCCUGGAAAAGGGACCCUCAGCAGCUGACCCUGCUUGCAGCCCAGCAUUAUCUGCCCUCCCCUCUUGCAGCCCUUUAGUGCUGGGUGUUCCCAGUGGAGACACAAAGUUUAGGGCUGA